rnacentral:rRNA from 1 species
GGAGAAGUCGUAACAAGGUUUCCGUAGGUGCAACCUGCGGAAGGAUCAUUGACGAUGCCCCGGCCGACCGGCGAACAGACUGCGUCUCACCAGGCUCCCGCCCCACCCCGCCGCGCGGGGUGGGCGGCAGAGCGACCCCAACAGAGCCCGGCGCCCCGAGCGCCAAGGAACGGACGUCGAACGGGAAGGACUGCGCGGCGCGCGUCCCGACCGCACAACGACACUGCGUGCGUACGACUCUCGGCAACGGAUAUCUCGGCUCUCGCAUCGAUGAGAACGUAGCGAAAUGCGAUACUUGGUGUGAAUUGCAGAAUCCCGCGAACCAUCGAGUCUUUGAACGCAAGUUGCGCCCGAGGCCAUCCGGCCGAGGGCACGCCUGCCUGGGCGUCACGCCCCCUUGGUUCCACCCCCGACCUCACCACGGCGGGAGAGAGGGGGAGGCGGAGACUGGCCGCCCGUGCAGGGGACGACCCCCGGGCGCGGCCGGCCCAAACGAGGGAACGCAGCGCGGCCGAGGCGCGACGAGUGGUGGCCGAAGCGAGAGCUGCGGACGCCGCGCUCUGCCCACGCCGCGCUGCGCGAAGCGAGCAACGAACGACGAGAGACCCCAGGUCAGGCGGGGCCACCCG